rnacentral:rRNA from 1 species
GUGGAUUAGAUACCCUUGUAGUCCACGCAGUAAACGAUGAUAGCUCGUUGUCAGCGAUACAAUGUUGGUGACUAAGAGAAAUCGAUAAGCUAUCCACCUGGGGAGUACGUUCGCAAGAAUGAAACUCAAAGGAAUUGACGGGGGCCCGCACAAGCGGAGGAACAUGUGGUUUAAUUCGAUGAUACGCGAGGAACCUUACCCGGGCUUGAAAGUUAGUGACGGAUCUGGAAACAGGUCUUCCCUUCGGGGCACGAAACUAGGUGCUGCACGGUCGUCGACAGCU